rnacentral:rRNA from 1 species
GAGGAAUAUUGGUCAAUGGGCGAGAGCCUGAACCAGCCAAGUAGCGUGCAGGAUGACGGCCCUAUGGGUUGUAAACUGCUUUUGUAUGGGGAUAAAGUCAAUCACGUGUGAUUGUUUGCAGGUACCAUACGAAUAAGGACCGGCUAAUUCCGUGCCAGCAGCCGCGGUAAUACGGAAGGUCCAGGCGUUAUCCGGAUUUAUUGGGUUUAAAGGGAGCGUAGGCCGGAGAUUAAGUGUGUUGUGAAAUGUAGACGCUCAACGUCUGACUUGCAGCGCAUACUGGUUUCCUUGAGUACGCACAACGUUGGCGGAAUUCGUCGUGUAGCGGUGAAAUGCUUAGAUAUGACGAAGAACUCCGAUUGCGAAGGCAGCUGACGGGAGCGCAACUGACGCUUAAGCUCGAAGGUGCGGGUAUCGAACAGGAUUAGAUACCCUGGUAGUCCGCACAGUAAACGAUGGAUGCCCGCUGUUGGUACCUGGUAUCAGCGGCUAAGCGAAAGCAUUAAGCAUCCCACCUGGGGAGUACGCCGGCAACGGUG